CGUUGGCGAGGAUGUGGGGAAAAGGUACACUCACACAUUGCUGGUGGGACUGCAAAUUGCUGCAACCACUUUGGAAAGCAGUAUGGAGAUUUCUCAGAAAACUUGGAAUGGAACUGCCAUUUGACCCAGUUAUCCCACUCCUUGGUUUAUAUCCAAAGGACUUAAAUCAGCAUACUGCAGUGACACAGCCACAUCAAUGUUUACAGCAGCUCAACUCACAACAGCUGAGCUGUGGAACCAACCUAGCAGCUCUUUAACAAAUGAAUGAAUAAAGAAAACGUGGUACAUAUACACAAUGGAAUAUUACUCAGCCAUAAAAAACAAGGACUUUAUGACUUUUGCCUGUAAAUUGGAUGGAGCUGGAGACUAUGAUGCUAAGUGAAAUAAGCCAAUCCCAGGAAUCCAAGGCCAAAUGUUCUCUCUGAUAUGCGGAUGCUAAUAUACAAUAAGGGGGAGAUGGAAGAAUAGAAGUUCAUUGGAUUAGACAAAGAGGAAUGAAGAGAAGGGAGGGGGAUGGGAAUAGGAAAGAUAGUAGAAUGAAUCAGACAUAACUUUCCUGUGUUGACAUGUGAAUACACAACCUGUGUAACUCCACAUCACGUAUAACCUCAAGAAUGAAAUCCUAAUUUGAAUAAGUUAUGCUCCAUGCAUGUAUAAUAUGUCCAAAUACACUCUACUGUCACGU
rnacentral:lncRNA from 1 species